CCAGCCUGUCUGGGGCAAAGCAGCAUUCCCUGGCCCCAAAGGCAUCUGGACACAGCCAUUCCUGGUGGAUUUGCUGCUGCCUCAACACCCAGAACUUCUCCAGGCAGCCCUGUGAAGACCCAGGAGAGGCAGCAGCCAUGAAGAUCCUGUUCCUGCUCUUCCCCCUGAUCCUCCUGUUGGCCCAGGGUGCUGCAGGCAAUGAAACUAGCUGCUGGGAACUACACGGCUUCUGCACUAGGAAUACUUGCCCCGAGGGUACAAGUUUUGUGGGAAGAUGUUCACCGGGUCUUGUGUGCUGCAAAAGACUCUGGUUUUGAAACCCUGAAAUUCCCAAGCAGGACUUGCCCCUU